GAAUCAGUGCCAGAUAAUAUCAAUGUAAUUCAUCUUUAAUCAAUUAGUGUAAGAUAUAUAUAUAUCCAUGCUAUUGAUCAGAUUAAACGAAUAUAUCACACCAUAAAAAAAUAGCUAUUGAUUUUGUCUUCUAGUGAUGGAUAGUAAAUACAUAUCAUAAUAAGAAUACCAACAUAAUUUGAUCGCUAUAUUAAGUUAGAUACAAUCAGAAAAUGAAUACUUGCAGCGCAUUUAAAUAGAUUUACAUUGAAAUUGUCAUGGUUAGUCUAUUUCCAAUGGGAAUUCGUUAUUCAUUUAUGUAUUAUAAACAAUAAUAAUAGGACAGUUAAUCACAACACAAGGAGACUAAAUGAGAGAAAUUCAGCAUAGGAUGCAGUUGGGAUGGCUUGCAUGCGGCCAACACAGUAAUUUUCUAAAGGACAAUAGGAUACCGAUAUGCAAUAAGAAGAAACUUUUCAACAUGUGCACAUUACUAGUAAUGAUGUAUAGCUGUGAAAUGUGGACCCUUACAAAGAAAAUGGCACAAAAAUUAGCAAUACUCCAAAAAAAACAUGGAAAAAUACAUGUUAGAAUUCACCAG
rnacentral:lncRNA from 1 species